GCUGUGCCCGCUCUCAGGUGCACUGAAGGGAAGAGCAACCUGCAACCUGCCGAGAUUUGUAAUCGGCCCGAAAGAGGCGAUUUCUUUCUACGGGCGCCGGUCGCGGGUUCGACCAACACACAAGCACUCGGCCUUUUUCGGGCUAAUUGUCCGCGGCCAAACACGCGAGAGUAAAGCAAGCUUCUUUUCUUCCUUCACUCGCUGCUCGCAACUUCACGGCUCCUUUUGCCUUCGAGUUUGAGUUUUGCUUGCUUUGGCCGCCCCCACCACACCGUAGUCCCUGCUGCCGCCGCUGCCUCUUUUGUGUCUCUUCUGCUGUUUACCACCAAUCUGCGCUGCGUCGAUUUCUCGUUCGCCUCCACCGAGUUUCGUCCAAGUUUCGUCUUCUCUCGUUUGACAAGGACGAGCCCGAGAACUGAACUACCAACUUAAUAAAAUUACAAAUGGAAUGUUCAACAACGAUGUUGGUGUUAAUUUUGCAUGAUUAUUUUGCAUCUACCUCACUUUCAUGUAAAUAUAAUAAACUGCAAUAUUCAGCAGUUGUAAUGAAUUUAAAUCAUAUAAUUAUUAUUUUUUUAUAAAAAUAUUAUGCUGGCAACAUUGACAAUACGUACAGCUGCUGAAACAAAAAUUCAGGUAUGGGAAGAUUUUCUUGUUUUUCCAGCCGAAUUUUAUCUUUCAUCCUGCGUUAGAGGGUGCAAAAUGGGCGGUGACGGACAUGGCCAUGGAGAGGCCAUCAAGAUUCCCGACUACAAAAUUUAUAAAGUUGAAGGAGUACCCGAGCUGAUGAGAGUUCAGAAUGCUCUAGCUGCCAAGGGAUUAAAGGAUCCUUGGUUGAG